ACACUCGUUACAUUGAUAACGUUUCAUUUGCUGCUUCUACCUGGUCCACUUAACCUGGUCGAAUGGAGCGGGGAGCGGAGACGGGCACCAGAAAAAGGUUUGUUAAUUUCAAAGAUAUUGCAGAAUAAUUGCUUGUUUGGUCUGGCCACUGCAGUGGCCAAUCGGACAGUUCCUGUCGCCGUGGAUUCUCGCAUCACUCCUUUAAGCUCUCAAUCGAGUAUGUGAAUAAGAGGAGUAUCUACUCUGUAAAAAACGGAAACCCAAAGUUCGUCAUUGAUUCGUGUCCGACGAAGAUAUUCGCCUGUGGCUUCGCACACAUAUGAAGCCAGCGGCGCGUGGUCAAAAAGUCAGUUUGCUGCUGCGCUUCCCCGAAUGGAUAAUCAAAUGGAAAUUAUGCAUAAUUGAAUUGCAUAACUCCACCAGAGCACACCGCACGACUGGCUCUAAUUAUAGCGAUUAUCUGGCCGGACUUUAAGGACACAUAAAUUCAAGUGUUUACCACUGGCAUUUGAUGGGCAUUUGCACUUCCGGGAAUCGGAACCUCGGAACCUGCCUCGCCGCAAAGGCUUCCGGGCAGCGCAUCCAAUCAAAAUCUUUGGAGCUAUGCCACCAAAGGCGGAGGUCAAGGAUUGUGUUUUCCUUACUGAACAACCAUUUGGAGGGUAAUCGGAUUAAAUUACCCAUAAAAAUAAUUGCUAGAACCGGCAUUCGUCGGUCUGAGAUAAACAGAGUGAAGUGAUAAGAUUACGUUGGCGGAAGAAAAUGUCCGCUCGCCGUCUCGUCCUGGAGCUCCUCGUCCACUAUGGAGGCCCAAAGGAUCUGCACCUAACUGGACUGUGACAGCCACUGGCUGUGCAUCUGCAAGCCAUAGCCAUGAUAUCGCUGCUGUGUCGCUGAGUCGACAAUGUGGCGCCCCGUCCACUGCAGCAGGGACCAGUGAUCGACGGCGGAAUUGUUGGUUCACGCCCACAGGAAAUAAUAUCAGCAACCCCUUUUUCAUUUGCCGCCGAAUCAAACGCUGGGAUUUAGCAUCGAGACGCAGGACUUAUGUACCCAACGCUUUGCCACAAGCGACCACCAUCCGACGGAGACCUAUCCAAGCAUUACCGAGGCGUAUUCGAGACAGACUGAGUCCUUUUCCAGACAGAGAGAAUCCUAUCCCAGCAAGACAGAAGCACACCCCUUGCAAGAUCCGAAGCAAGCCAUCGACUUUGCCAUCGACAACAAGGACUUUGACUAUGGUAACCAAGGGAGGAGCUACUCGGUCUGCUAGACUUUAGAUAGAUCUCGUUGUUGUUAAGGUUAAGGAUAUGAAAUUCCAUUCACUUAGAUAGUAGAUACAAAUUUUUUCCGCUUGUUCAUUUAUUUAUACUAAGCUAAGGUUU